rnacentral:rRNA from 1 species
UACGGAGGGGGCUAGCGUUGUUCGGGAUUACGGGGCGUAAAGCGCACGUAGGCGGACUGUUAAGUCGGGGGUGAAAUCCCGGGGCUCAACCCCGGAACGGCCUUCGAUACUGGAGGUCUCGAGUUCGAGAGAGGUGAGUGGAAUUCCUAGUGUAGAGGUGAAAUUCGUAGAUAUUAGGAAGAACACCAGUGGCGAAGGCGGCUCACUGGCUCGGUACUGACGCUGAGGCGCGAAAGCGUGGGGAGCAAACAGG